GCUAGGUAUGGUGGUGCACACCUGUAGUCCCAGUGACUUGGGAAGCUGAGGCAGGAGGAUCACAAGUUCAAGGGAAGCUGUAGCAAUUUAGCAAGACCCUAAGCAACUUAGUGAGACCUUGUCUCCA
rnacentral:sRNA from 1 species